CGUCCGCACCGGCGUGUGCGCACACACGGACAGACACCCGCCAGUGCUGCGGCCCCACUCCGCGGCCCGGCGGGGCUCGGCGACAGCAGCGGGACGUCCCUCCCACUCCCUCGCCCGCCGCUCCGGCCGAGGCUCCGCCGAUCCCCGCUACCCGUGUGUCAGGCCAGGCGGGAUUCCUCCCUGCCCGGGGCUGCACCCGAGCCCGGCCCGGCUCGGCCCGUCGGGGAAGCGGAGCAGCAAGCAGAAGCUUUGUAGCUGUGCCCAGGAGAGGCGCAGGGCGGACGCUGCCCUCGUGCCCUGUCCCCAGUUUUACAGCCUGCGGCUGGCCGGGGCGCCCCUUCCUCUGAGCUCUCCCUUGACGCCGGGAGGGAAUCGGAACUGCCUGUGAAUGGGAUAGAUCAGCCCUUGGGAUCACCUACUAUCCAUGAUGAGUCCAGACCACCAGUGACCCAAAAAUAGCUGCUCUUAAGACCUCUCUGAAAAGCAGAGGAGUUCCUGCAAUUUUUAAAGGAAUGAAUCACAAAUUGUGGACCCAUGUGGGAUGUAAACUCCAUGCUUGCAUGAUGAAGAUGCAAAAAUCCUUCAGUGGAGGGCUGGGAAGAGCAAAGCUCCUUUAAAAAUGGCUUAGUCAUUUAUGUGUCUCCAUUCCCUCUCUAAUUUGAGACAAUGUGUUCAGAUUUCAAACUGUGGUGUGUGUAGUCAAUUCUUGUUGUCUUCAACACUAAUAAGUUAAAUACUGUGCUCUUCAGAAAGUCAUGUCCCUCAUAUCUCAUAAAUCACCAAAAGGUGAAUCACCUCAAAUUAGAGAGGGUAGGUUUAAGUAAUUAGUUGUUUUGUUUUUUUGUUUGGUUUUUUUUUUUUUUUCCAUUACAGGAUAUGAUCAGAUUAAAUCUGGCAGACCUAGCUGGAACCGUUUUAAAAGUUACCAUCACCAGCUGCUUAUUGCUGUUCCAGAGGUUACCUCCAUUCCCCACAUGCAGAAAGAGCAGUGUGAGCAUAGACCUCACUGAUAUGCAGGAGUGAGCACCUUAAAACAGUCCUGUUUUCCCUUCUUGUGCCUGCACAGCAGGGUAUGCAGGGAAUAAGUGAGGACUACUAUAUGCAUAAUUUGGACCAUCAAAUGCAUGUGUAAAUGUUUGGGACUACUAGUUCCUACUUUUUAUGAAUAGGUGAAUAAAAUUCAUUGGAAUGUUCUGAAUAAUUUUCCCUAUUUAAGUUUUGAUAGAUCAUGUGAUUGUUUUUCCAGAAGUCCACAGAUGCAAUUAAUUUUAAUCACAACUUACUAGUAAUAACAGCAAACAUGGUUGUGUUUUUUGUCCCUUACUUUCU